AAGACCUUGCGCUUUUGGAGCGGCCGAUGCCUGGUUAGCUAGUUGGUGGGGUAAUGGCCUACCAAAGCUUCGAUCAGUAGCUGGUCUGAGAGGACGGCCAGCCACACUGGGACUGAGACACGGCCCAGACUCCUACGGGAGGCAGCAGUGGGGAAUUUUGGACAAUGGGCGCAAGCCUGAUCCAGCCAUGCCGCGUGAGUGAAGAAGGCCUUCGGGUUGUAAAGCUCUUUCAGCCGGGAAGAAAAGGUUGCGAUUAAUAAUCGCAAUUUAUGACGGUACCGGAAGAAGAAGCACCGGCUAACUACGUGCCAGCAGCCGCGGUAAUACGUAGGGUGCGAGCGUUAAUCGGAAUUACUGGGCGUAAAGGGUGCGCAGGCGGUUUUGUAAGUCAGAUGUGAAAUCCCCGGGCUUAACCUGGGAACU
rnacentral:rRNA from 1 species